rnacentral:rRNA from 1 species
GACGAACGCUGGCGGCGUGCCUAACACAUGCAAGUCGAGCGAAUGAAGUUCCUUCGGGAAUGGAUUUAGCGGCGGACGGGUGAGUAACACGUGGGCAACCUGCCUCAUAGAGGGGAAUAGCCUUCCGAAAGGGAGAUUAAUACCGCAUAAGAUUGUAGUAUCGCAUGAUACAGCAAUUAAAGGAGCAAUCCGCUAUGAGAUGGGCCCGCGGCGCAUUAGCUAGUUGGUGAGGUAACGGCUCACCAAGGCGACGACGCGUAGCCGACCUGAGAGGGUGAUCGGCGACAUUGGGACUGAGACACGGCCCAGACGCCUACGGGAGGCAGCAGUGGGGAAUAUUGCACAAUGGGGGAAACCCUGAUGCAGCAACGCCGCGUGAGUGAUGACGGGCUUCGGGUUGUAAAGCUCUGUCUUCAGGGACGAUAAUGACGGUACCUGAGGAGGAAGCCACGGCUAACUACGU